rnacentral:rRNA from 1 species
GCCUGUUUAUCAAAAACAUCGCUCCCUGUAUAGUAUUAAAUAGGGAGUCGGACCUGCCCAGUGAAUUUUUAACGGCCGCGGUACUCUGACCGUGCAAAGGUAGCAUAAUAAUUUGCCUUAUAAUUGAGGGCUAGUAUGAAUGGUUUGACGAGAAUAAAGCUGUCUCUUUGCAAUUUGCUAGAAAUUUAUUUGUAGAUGAAAAAGUCUACAUAUUAUUAAAAGACAAGAAGACCCUAUCGAGCUUAAAAAAAUUUAGUAGGUUUAAACAUGUUAAUUAAAUCAAAAAAAUUAUCUACUAAAAAUUUUAGUUGGGGCGACUGAGGAACAAAUAAAGCUUCUUUAAACAUAAUUUUUGUUUAUUAACUUUGAUCCAGAAAUUUCUGAUUAAUAAAAUUAGUUACCGUAGGGAUAACAGCAUUAUCUUUUUUGAGAGCUCUUAUCGAAAAAAAGGUUUGUGACCUCGAUGUUGGACCAGAAUAUCCUAAAGAUGCAGCAGUCUUUAAGGGUUGGUCUGUUCGACCAUUAAUAUUCUACGUGAUCUGAGUUCA